AUUGAACGCUGGCGGCAGGCCUAACACAUGCAAGUCGAGCGGAUGACGGGAGCUUGCUCCUUGAUUCAGCGGCGGACGGGUGAGUAAUGCCUAGGAAUCUGCCUGGUAGUGGGGGACAACGUUUCGAAAGGAACGCUAAUACCGCAUACGUCCUACGGGAGAAAGCAGGGGACCUUCGGGCCUUGCGCUAUCAGAUGAGCCUAGGUCGGAUUAGCUAGUUGGUGAGGUAAUGGCUCACCAAGGCGACGAUCCGUAACUGGUCUGAGAGGAUGAUCAGUCACACUGGAACUGAGACACGGUCCAGACUCCUACGGGAGGCAGCAGUGGGGAAUAUUGGACAAUGGGCGAAAGCCUGAUCCAGCCAUGCCGCGUGUGUGAAGAAGGUCUUCGGAUUGUAAAGCACUUUAAGUUGGGAGGAAGGGCAGUAAGCUAAUACCUUGCUGUUUUGACGUUACCGACAGAAUAAUCACCGGCUAACUCUUUGCCAGCCGCCGCCGUAAUAC
rnacentral:rRNA from 1 species